UACGUAGGGGGCUAGCGUUGUCCGGAAUCAUUGGGCGUAAAGAGCGCGUAGGCGGCCAGAUAAGUCCGGUGUGAAAGUCACAGGCUCAACCUGUGAAUGCCGCUGGAAACUGUCUGGCUAGAGUCCGGGAGGGGCGAGUGGAAUUCCUGGUGUAGCGGUGAAAUGCGCAGAUAUCAGGAGGAACACCAUGGCGAAGGCAGCACUCUGGGACGUGACUGACGCUGAGACGCGAAAGCGUGGGGAGCAAACAGG
rnacentral:rRNA from 1 species